AUGUUUCUUUCCAUCUUCAAACUUUGAUUUCUUUUAUUUAUAUUUUCUGAAUCGUUUUGAACAACUGUGAAUUUUAUAUCAAUGAUAUUUCAAAUUUGUGAAAUUAGUGGUGUUGUUUAGAUCUAUUAAAAAGAUAAGUGAUGUUUUCAGAUCUGAGAAAUCAAAUAUAUGUUCUUCUUCAUGAUUUCAUCUCAUCUUUUUCUCACAAUUUCAUUUGUAGGUGGUGAGGUUGCGGUUUCCGGUGGCGGCGCAUCUGUGCGUUUUUGUGUGAUUUGGAGGUGGUAAGGUUGCGAUCUCCGGUGAUGGAUGCAAGAUGAUUUCACGACGGAAAAUCGCCCUCAACCGACAAAGCUGCAACAUCUCAACAGACAUGCGGCGCCGACGCCUCCACAACCAAUCAACGACUACACCGCACGACCCCUCUUCAUUUCGGCACCAAGCCAUCGGCGUUCACCUGUAUCGUGCCUUGCUUGUAUCCACUACCACGGUUAAAUAUUCUUCGUGCCAGGCCACCGUAGCUGAUAGCUUUGGAAGGAUUUUGAUGAUAAACUUGAUUGGAUUAAGGAUAUUAAUGCCUUAGAUGGAGUUGUUGAGGGCAUUUAAUAUUUAGUCUUCAUCUUUUUCAGGUAACAACAACCUGCUAAUGCUAUGGCGGAGUCAAAUAUAGAUAUUCUACCAAAUACAAGUAACUACUACAUAGAGAAAAAUGAGAGUAAGAUAGAGAAAAACAAGAGACAUAAAAUAGGAGAUGAUUGCUAUUAAAAUUCAGUGGUUAAACUUUAGUAUGAUCAACUAUUUAUUAUCUUAAAAUACAAGAUGUUAUUAUAAAUGGUUUUAUAGGAUUCACAAUCAAAUAAAGUUUCAAGUAAAACCUUAUGAGGAUGUGGGUGGUUAAAAACUAAUCUACAACUAAUGUAUAUUUUUGGUCAACAUAUAUAACAAGCUAUUGCUAAUGUAAUUAAAUAGUUACUUAGUGUUUUACAAGUUUAAUUUAGUAACAUUAGUUAUAUUUGUGUGUUCAAAAAAGUUGGACGG